rnacentral:rRNA from 1 species
CUCUCGUUAGAUUGAAGAAGCUUGCUUCUGAUUGAUAACAUUUGAGUGAGUGGCGGACGGGUGAGUAACACGUGGGUAACCUGCCCUAAAGUGGGGGAUAACAUUUGGAAACAGAUGCUAAUACCGCAUAAAACCUAGCACCGCAUGGUGCAAGGUUGAAAGAUGGUUUCGGCUAUCACUUUAGGAUGGACCCGCGGUGCAUUAGUUAGUUGGUGAGGUAAAGGCUCACCAAGACCGUGAUGCAUAGCCGACCUGAGAGGGUAAUCGGCCACACUGGGACUGAGACACGGCCCAGACUCCUACGGGAGGCAGCAGUAGGGAAUCUUCCACAAUGGACGAAAGUCUGAUGGAGCAACGCCGCGUGAGUGAAGAAGGUUUUCGGAUCGUAAAACUCUGUUGUUGGAGAAGAACGUAUUUGAUAGUAACUGAUCAGGUAGUGACGGUAUCCAACCAGAAAGCCACGGCUAACUACGUGCCAGCAGCCGCGGUAAUACGUAGGUGGCAAGCGUUGUCCGGAUUUAUUGGGCGUAAAGCGAGCGCAGGCGGUUUCUUAAGUCUGAUGUGAAAGCCUUCGGCUCAACCGAAGAAGUGCAUCGGAAACUGGGAAACUUGAGUGCAGAAGAGGACAGUGGAACUCCAUGUGUAGCGGUGAAAUGCGUAGAUAUAUGGAAGAACACCAGUGGCGAAGGCGGCUGUCUGGUCUGUAACUGACGCUGAGGCUCGAAAGCAUGGGUAGCAAACAGGAUUAGAUACCCUGGUAGUCCAUGCCGUAAACGAUGAGUGCUAGGUGUUGGAGGGUUUCCGCCCUUCAGUGCCGCAGCUAACGCAUUAAGCACUCCGCCU